CCUACGGGAGGCAGCAGUGAGGAAUAUUGGUCAAUGGGCGAGAGCCUGAACCAGCCAAGUCGCGUGGAGGAUGAAGGAUCUAUGGUUUGUAAACUUCUUUUAUAUGGGAAUAAAGUGAGGAACGUGUUCCUUUUUGUAUGUAUCAUAUGAAUAAGCAUCGGCUAACUCCGUGCAAGCAGCCGCGGUAAUACGGAGGAUGCGAGCGUUAACCGGAUUUAUGGGGUUUAAAGGGUGCGUAGGUGGUUAAUUAAGUCAGAGGUUGAAGUUUGUGGCUCAACCAUAAGAUUGCCGUUUGAACUGGUUGAUUUGAGUAUUUUUGAGGUAGGCUGAAUGCGUGGUGUAGCGGUGAAAUGCAUAGAUAUCACGCAGAACUCCGAUUGCGAAGGCAGCUUACUAAACUCUAUCUGACACUGAAGCACGAAAGCGUGGGGAUCAAACAGGAUUAGAUACCCGAGUAGUCC
rnacentral:rRNA from 1 species